UACGUAGGGGGCAAGCGUUGUCCGGAAUUAUUGGGCGUAAAGCGCGUGUAGGCGGUCCGGUAAGUCGGUUGUGAAAGUCCAGGGCUCAACCCUGGGAUGCCGACCGAUACUGUCGGACUAGAGUUCGGAAGAGGCGAGUGGAAUUCCCGGUGUAGCGGUGAAAUGCGCAGAUAUCAGGAGGAACACCGAUUGCGAAGGCAGCUCGCUGGGACGUGACUGACGCUGAGACGCGAAAGCGUGGGGAGCAAACAGG
rnacentral:rRNA from 1 species